rnacentral:lncRNA from 1 species
GUUUCAAUGUCACACUCCAGUGAACACAUGACCUCAGAUGGAUUCUGAGUAACCAUAAUUUUCUGAGUCUGAAGCUGCUUUGAGCCUCUUCCUGAGGGCUGCUUUCCUUUUUCUAGCAUGUUUCAAGUGAGAGAAAUUCUAUUAGCCUGUCUUGACCCUUUGUUGUUCUUUCAUUGGGUCUGUCUGAGUUUCCUGCAGUACCAGGAGUGGAAGACAGAGACACCAUGACUUCUACCAAGAUGCUGCUUCUCUUGCUGUCAAUGGCUUUGGUCGCCCUGUGCUCUGCUCACGGCAUCAGUGAUGAUGAUGAAUUAUUGAAGGAAAAGCCGGAGAAGUCACAAGUCAAACCUCAAGAAGAAAAUGGGCAUCACAAAAACAAAACGGAAGAUAAAGGCCAUGGUCACCCAAACAAGACUCAUGACCAGGGUGUUCACGGACGUCCGGAAAGACCAGGCAGAGGUGGCCCAGGUGGCCCACAUGGCCAAGGUCGUCCAGGUGGCCCACGAGGACCUGGUGGCCCACGAGGACCUGGUGGCCCGCAAGGACCAGGUGGCCAACGUCGUCCACAAGGUGGUCAACAGGGUCCAGGUGGCCCAGGUGGUCCAGGUGGCCCAGCGGAGGAGACACAGGCGCUGCUGUACCCAGGUGGGUUCCAGGUGGCCCACACAGGAACCAGCUGGCCCAGGUGGUCCAGGUGGCCCACAAGGACCAGGUGGCCCAGGUGGUCCAGGGGGCCCACAAGGACCAGCUGGCCCACAAGGACCACCUGGCCAACAAGGACCAGGCGGCCAAGGUGGUCCAGGUGGUCCUGGUGGCCCUGGUGACCAGGGAGACCAGAAGGGAAGCAAUGAGCAGCGUGGUCAACCUGAAGGCCAGUGAUAAAAAACAAAAAAAACCAAGGAAGCCUGCCAGUGAUUCUCUAGGUAUUAAGUGUAUUCUUAUCCACUGAUCUAGUGAAUUUCUAGUUUUCAGUUUCCUCAUUCUCUCCUAUUUCUGUUCUCUGGUCUCAUUUAAGCCUUGGCUUUAAUCACUCCUAAACUUCUUGUCCUUGUGAUUCUCCUUGCAUCAGCCUUCCCCAUAGAAAAGUCUGCUCCAUUAUCAAGGCCAGUGUUCUUUCCACCCUGAGCUUUCCCUUUCUUUCUUUUCUUUUCUUUUUUCUUUUUUUCUUGGCUCCCUCAUUCUUAUAUUAGCCUACAGCCUUCCCAAUUUCUACCUCCCCAAGCCUUUCCUCUCCUCUCCUCUCUUCCCUUCUCUUUACUCUCUCUUGGCCUCCUCCUCUCACAUCUGCUGCCUCUUCUCUCUCUCUUAACAUGAUGUUUUAUGAUGUCUUCUGCUACCUACUAGUAAAAAUACAGACAGAGAUCAUGUCCAAGCCCAAUUAAUAUUUCUGCCUUAAAUUUUUCUCUUUGUUUAGAAAUGGAUAGAGAUCAACUGGUGACCAUGGAGUUUUCAGUGGUGGAAAUUUGGCCUUUGAUUUCUCUGACAUCAAAUCAUCAAUAAAGUCAUCAGCAUUAAAG